rnacentral:rRNA from 1 species
CGGCGGACGGGUGAGUAACACGUGGGUAACCUGCCUGUAAGACUGGGAUAACUCCGGGAAACCGGGGCUAAUACCGGAUGCUUGAUUGAACCGCAUGGUUCAAUCAUAAAAGGUGGCUUUCAGCUACCACUUGCAGAUGGACCCGCGGCGCAUUAGCUAGUUGGUGAGGUAACGGCUCACCAAGGCGACGAUGCGUAGCCGACCUGAGAGGGUGAUCGGCCACACUGGGACUGAGACACGGCCCAGACUCCUACGGGAGGCAGCAGUGGUCAUAGC